CUGGCUCAGGAUGAACGCUAGCGGCAGGCUAACACAUGCAAGUCGAGGGGCAGCGGGAUGCAGCAAUACAUGCCGGCGACCGGCGGAUGGGUAGCGUAACGCGUAUGCAACCUACCUUAUACAGGGGAAUAACCUUUCGAAAGGGAGACUAACACCCCAUAGUAUUGAUUUAAGGCAUCUUAGAUUAAUUAAAUAUUUAUAGGUAUAAGAUGGGCAUGCGUAUGAUUAGCUAGUUGGUAAGGUAACGGCUUACCAAGGCGACGAUCAUUAGGGGUUCUGAGAGGAAGGUCCCCCACACUGGUACUGAGACACGGACCAGACUCCUACGGGAGGCAGCAGUGAGGAAUAUUGGUCAAUGGGCGCAAGCCUGAACCAGCCAUGCCGCGUGCAAGGAAGACGGCCUUAUGGGUUGUAAACUGCUUUUACAUAAGACUAACCGUAUAUUUGCGAAUAUACCUGAAUGUAUUAUGAGAAUAAGGAUCGGCUAACUCCGUGCCAGCCGCCGC
rnacentral:rRNA from 1 species